ACGCGCUUGAAAGACUUUUUCUCUUGGAUUGCCGGUUUAUUCAAACCUUACUUAUUGAGGUCCGCGCUUUAGAAAUACAGUUUGAUCUGCGAAGAAUGGGUCCCCAGGGGGGAGUUCGUGGAUGGUGGGUCGGUUUCCGUGACUGAUUUGAUUUAUUGGAACACGGAGGCACCGUUGGCAAAGGCCGGCAUUUUAUUUUAAAAUAAUCUUAUAAUUUAAGAGUGACAAUAUAUGACACGAUCUGUUAAUUCAACACGAACACGAUACGAUAAAAGCAGAUUAGAGUUUAGCCUUAACGGGUUCGAAUCAAAAUAAAUUGACCUAUUAAAACACAAUUAUUUAACGGGUCACUAACGAAUCAACCCGUUAUAAUCCGUUAAAAAAAAUUAAAUUUACCUUUAUACCCUUAUAUCUAAAAUUCAAAAAACCAUGACAUUUCCUAACCCACGCCGCCCCCCACUUCACUCUUCAGUUUUUUUUUUCUUUAGUGUUCUCACUCUCAGUUCUUCCUUCUCUUCUCAGUUCUCACGCCCGUCUUUGACUUCAACUCAGAAAUCCGUCACCCACGGCGUCGCCAGGCCCACACCCCUUUGCCCACGGCUCACUAGUUUCUCUGUCUCAGAUUCACUGUGGCCCAAACCAUCGUAUUCCUCCUCACACAGGCAUAGAUCUGCGACGUCCCAGCCUACGGGCCAUCGGUCUCUCCCUCUCCUCUUCUUCUAGAGAUUCGUGGCUUAGCCUCUUCAUCGAUCCCAAAUACACUUGUGAUCAUUUCCCUUAAACAUUAGAACAGAAGGGCAAGAAGAAAAGUGGAGACAGAUUCUUGCAACAGCAAGUGGAGCCUUUCAAUACUCUUUGUUUGAUAUAUUGUAUACAGAUCCUCACAUUUGAGAUUGUAACAUUAAUAUUAUUACAAUAUGUGUUUAUCAAAUUUGGUGCUGUUGGAAUUUUAAUUUCGAUAUAUUUAUUAUUUGGAUUGUAA